UGGUAAAAUGUCCCACCUCAUUCUCCAGGAAUCUGAUUCAGGAAGUCUGGGGUGGAGGCCAGGAAUCUGCAUUUUUAAACAAGCACCUUAGGUGAUUCAGAUAGUCAGUGGACCA
rnacentral:miRNA from 1 species